UACGUAGGGGGCUAGCGUUGUCCGGAAUCAUUGGGCGUAAAGCGUGUGUAGGCGGUCCGGUAAGUCCGCUGUGAAAGUCGGGGGCUCAACCCUCGAAUGCCGGUGGAUACUGUCGGGCUAGAGUGCGGAAGAGGCGAGUGGAAUUCCUGGUGUAGCGGUGAAAUGCGCAGAUAUCAGGAGGAACACCAAUUGCGAAGGCAGCUCGCCGGGACGUUACUGACGCUGAGACGCGAAAGCGUGGGGAGCAAACAGG
rnacentral:rRNA from 1 species